UGUUACAAUUUAACAAGGCCAUUAGUAGUUACACUAGAUGCCGAUGGAAUAGUCUACAUGGUGAUUCAUAGUUAAUGUCUUUUUUUUUUAAUGUAAUUUAAAUUUGAAUAAAAAAGUCAAUUUUUUAAAUAUAUAUAAUUUAUAAAAUUUCCAAAAAUUAUCCCAUUUUUUGUGCGUGUCAUCAACGAGGGCUGCAGUGCUUGUGAAUGGAGCGGCUACAAAUGAGUUUAGAAUGUUUAGAGGUCUCUGACAAGGGGAUCCAUUAUCCCCCUUUUUAUUCAUUCUGGUGACAGAAGUUUUGCAUCUGAUGUUAGUGGAAGCGGAGGAAUUAGGGGUCAUUGAGGGGUUUAAAGACGUUAUUCCUGGGCAUUCGGUUUCACAUCUACAAUUUGCGGACGACAUCAUUUUGUUUUUAAGGGCGGAUGAGGAUGUGGUAAGGAACACUAAGUAUAUUUUAUGUUGUUUUGAAAUUUUUUCUGGAUUAAGUAUAAAUUUUCGAAAAUCUUUCUUAGUGGGUUUUGAUACUGAAGAGGAGUUUGUAUUCAGAAUGGAUGUUGUUUGUAAAUGCAAAUUUGGGGAUUUACCGUUCAAUUACUUAGGUAUUCCUUUAGGUGCUGAUCCAAGGAAGAUAUCUUCUUGGGAUGGUAUUGUGAAGAGAGUUGAGAGGAAAUUAACGGGUUGGAAAAUGAUUAAAAAGAUUGAUAAAAUUUGACGAAACUUCUUGUGGGGAAGCGUUGGAGGUUAGAUGAAAAUGGCGAAGGUAAAAUGGAAUCAGAUUUGUUUGCCAAAGGCUAAAGGGGGCGCGGGAGUGGUGGACAUAAGGGUUAAAAAUAAGUCUCUCUUGGCUAAAUGGUGUUGGAGGUUCGCGGUGGAUAGAGAAGCUUUGUGGAGGAAAAUAAUUGCUGCAAAGUAUGGAAACUCCUACGCAACGUUGGUGUUUCAAAAUGAACAAUUCAAAAGAUAUGUCAGUGGUUUGCAAGGGUAUUGUGGAGAAUGCGAAAGAUUCGAUAGUAGCAAGAUGGGCAGGGAUUGAGUCUUUUAGAUGGCUGGUGGGGAAUGGACGUUCAAUAUUAUUCUGGGAGGAUGUUUGGUGUGGAGAUAGUCCUUUGAGAGCGGAAUUUCCAAGGCUAUUUCGUUUAGCCUUGAAUAAAAAUAGUCUGGUUAAAGAUUUCUCGAUGUUGAAUGGGUUCAUGGAGGUAAAUUGGGCUGAUUUAUUUUCUUGUCUGUUAUUGGAUGGGGAGAUUCAUAUGGUCUCUCGUUUAAAGGAAGCUUUGAGCAACAUAAUUUUGUUCCCUGAGGUGAAGGACAGAUUAUUAUGGAUUCAUGACAAUAAAGGGGUGUUUUCGGUGAGAAAAUUAACAGAAUUAUUGCUGAGUGUUGGGGGUGGAUUUAAGUUUCGAUUUUGAUAAAAUCUGGAAGUUAAAGGUGCCUCCUAGAGUGAGAAGUUUCCUUUGGAUGAUUUCAAUUGAUCGUCUUCCUACGAAGGAGUUCCUCAUUAGAAGAGGCGUGAAGCUUGGUCAAUUAAGGACGGUUGCCCUUGGUGCUACAGAGAACAGGAGACUGCGGUUCAUCUUUUCUUCCAUUGCAAUUUUAUUGAGAAUUUUUAGAGAAAAAUUUUGGAUUGGUGGGAGGUGAAAUGGAGGCCAUUUGAUGGUUUCCCUGAUUUUUUCUUAUUUUGUAAUAAUGUCUCUUAUUUAGGUGUGGUUAAAAGUUUAUGGAGGAUCUCGGUGUCAGCGCCUUGUUGGUCGGUAUGGUUAGCGAGGAAUAAGCUGAUGUUCGAUUGAAAGUGGCCGAAAAUGUCCAGUUUGGUUUUUCUUUCAAAGACUCAGGCUUUGAUGUAGAUAAGAUCGAUGUAUGAAGAAUUGAAAGUGGAUGAGCAAAUUUGGUGGGUCUAUCCAUAUAGAAGUUGGUGUAAUAUCAAAAAAGUGAGUGGCAGGUUUUGGUGUUCUCCGUGUUAUGGUGGGGUUAAAUUUAAUGUUUGUGGUGUGGCGUUUGAGGAUGAAGUCGGGUGUGGAGGGGUGUUAAAAAAUUCAAAUGGAGUGGCAAGGGCCUUAUUUUCUGGCCCGUUUACAGCAAAAGACUCCUUUGCUGCGGAGGACGGGACAAUAAGCAUUGCAUUGGAUAUGGUUUUAGAGAUGGGAUGAAAUGGUAAAUGCUCUUUAUUCAUUGAGGUUGGUUCAAUGGAGGUGUUUAAUUGGAUGGAGAAUAAAGGUUUGAGACCGUGGUUGCUGUUUUCUCUCUUUAAGGAAGUCGAGUUUAGGUUGUCGUUAAUUAGAAAUGUAUCCUUUUUUAUAGUGGACAAGAGUGGGAAUAAGAUGGCUUUUGCGCCGGCGGUUGUUGGUUUGAAAAGCCAGGGCAUGUUUAAGGCAUGGUGGUGACUCAAGGUGUGUUAUUGUUGUGCGCUUGUAGGUGUAUUUAUAGGUUGUGUUGUGGUUUUUUGGGGUGAUUUGUGCAAAUUUCUUUCUGUUUUGUGGUCUGUUUAACAGAGGGUUCAGUGGGGUUUUUGUGGUUUGUUUGUUGUAUUUUGUCUGUGAUUGGUUUUUGUUCCUAGGUGGGGACUGUUUUUCUUGCUGUUUGAUUUGCUUUGCUACAGUUUUGAAAGUUGCUGCACUUUGAUUAAGCAAAAAAAAAAAAAUUAUUAAAAAGUAUAA